CUCUCUCCUCAAUAAAUCCCCUCUCUCUCUCUCUCUCCUCAAUAAAUCCCCUCUCUCUCUCUCUCCUCAAUAAAUCCCCUCUCUCUCUCUCCUCAAUAAAUCCCCUCUCUCUCUCCUCAUUGAUGCUGCCACUUCUGUGUGUCUAUCAUCAAUAAGACUGGGUAUCUAUGCGUCAACACCUAACCGUCGCUCGGAGAAGGGUGCGGGGACAUGUGAGGGGGUCGGGAAGGGCUCAAAUCCUGGACCAGACGCAGCUUUCAGCCUCUCCCAGUAUAGUCUGCCUAGAGAGUGAGAGGCUCAUUCCUUUAUCCAAGGCAAAGGUGGACCAUCUCAAGGUACAUGUGGGAGGCUUGGGGCGUCCUUGUACCCAACACACACGCUGGGGCAGCAUCCUGGAAAUGGCAGCCAAGCCAAAUGGAAGUUGUAAUCCUUAUCCUGAUGAGGCCGAGACUGAUGGUCAGGAUAUUGAUGAAGAAAAUGUGUCUGAAGGAGUGCAGAAAACCAUUGUAAGUAAUUUGUAGUGUAAUGUAACCUUUCAGUAGAGUGCAGAGAUGUUCAGUUUCCCGCUGUACAAAAUAUUGCUGCCAUGAACCUCCACAAAGACUUCAUGUUGUUCACUGACAAUAAACAAAUCCCAGCUGACAACCUCCCCCUUGCAUAUUGACCACAGACAGCGACACAUAGCAAAGUUUCAGACACACACACACACACACACACACACACACACACACACACACAUUAGAUGGGAGAAGGAAUGAAAGAUCGGCAGCUUGGUGUUCGCCGUCGCUGGCCUCAAUACAGCACGGAGGGUAACAAUGCAAAGGUUUUCUAAGCAUUGCAGGAAUUAAACACAUUUCCCUUGAUUUCUAAUGUGCGUCGCUGGCCUCAAUACAGCACGGAGGGUAACAAUGCAAAGGUUUUCUAAGCAUUGCAGGAAUUAAACGCAUUUCCCUUGAUUUCUAAUGUGCGUCGCUGGCCUCAAUACAGCACGGAGGGUAACAAUGCAAAGGUUUUCUAAGCAUUGCAGGAAUUAAACACAUUUCCCUUGAUUUCUAAUGUGCGUCGCUGGCCUCAAUACAGCACGGAGGGUAACAAUGCAAAGGUUUUCUAAGCAUUGCAGGAAUUAAACACAUUUCCCUUGAUUUCUAAUGUGCGUCGCUGGCCUCAAUACAGCACGGAGGGUAACAAUGCAAAGGUUUUCUAAGCAUUGCAGGAAUUAAACACAUUUCCCUUGAUUUCUAAUGUGCGUCGCUGGCCUCAAUACAGCACGGAGGGUAACAAUGCAAAGGUUUUCUAAGCAUUGCAGGAAUUAAACACAUUUCCCUUGAUUUCUAAUGUGCGUCGCUGGCCUCAAUACAGCACGGAGGGUAACAAUGCAAAGGUUUUCUAAGCAUUGCAGGAAUUAAACACAUUUCCCUUGAUUUCUAAUGUGCGUCGCUGGCCUCAAUACAGCACAGAGCACGUCAAUUCUUCUGCAAGAUGAACGCCUUUCUCAAACAGCGUGUGUUUUUGUAGAACCACACCUGGGCGUCAUCGCGGUAAGUUAUCGCGAUUCUUUAUCGGUAAUAACAAAAUCGGGUUAUCGGGCAUCUGCUACUUAUUUAAAUAUAUAUCGGUAUCUUCAUCACUUUUGUAACCGAACUAUUGAUAAUGUAUACCUUUUUCAGACCCUCAGGAAAUAAAGUUGUUUUCUCCCUAAUGCAGAUGCGUGCCCGGGCGCUCGGUGGUGUGUGAAAGACUUUGGGGUAUGAAAUAUCUUCGAUGUCGAGAUUUUGUACUUUUUA